rnacentral:rRNA from 1 species
UACGGAGGUGGCAAGCGUUGCUCGGAAUCACUGGGCGUAAAGGGCGCGUAGGCGGGGAGGUAAGUCGGGUGUGAAAUCCCUCGGCCCAACCGAGGAACUGCGCCCGAGACUGCUUCUCUUGAGUCCCGGAGAGGAAGAUGGAAUUCCCGGUGUAGCGGUGAAAUGUGUAGAGAUCGGGAGGAACACCAGUGGCGAAGGCGGCUUUCUGGCCUGUUCUUGACGCUGAGGCGCGAAAGCUAGGGUAGCAAACGGG